UACGUAGGGCGCAAUCGUUAUCCGGAAUUAUUGGGCGUAAAGAGCUCGUAGGCGGUUUGUUGCGUCUGCCGUGAAAGUCCGGGGCUCAACUCCGGAUCUGCGGUGGGUACGGGCAGACUAGAGUGAUGUAGGGGAGACUGGAAUUCCUGGUGUAGCGGUGAAAUGCGCAGAUAUCAGGAGGAACACCGAUGGCGAAGGCAGGUCUCUGGGCAUUAACUGACGCUGAGGAGCGAAAGCGUGGGGAGCGAACAGG
rnacentral:rRNA from 1 species